AUGUUUAGUAUUGGUGGCAGAGUUCUCACAUCUCACAGGAGUUCAUUAGCUCCAGAUCUUGUUGAAGCUUUGCUUUGUUUGGGUGAUUGGCUGCCAGAUCUCACUCUCAGUGAGAGCAAUAGUUGUGUUACUGAAGUUGAGGACUAAGGAGGAAUGCAGUUGGCAUUGGCAGUGGAGAAUUUGGAGAUGGAGGAAUGCAUUUGCAGUUGCAGAUGCAGUUGGCAUCCCUUUGUCUUUUCUUUUGCAAAAACUUGGUUUUUUUCUUUUGAUAGAACAUGUGAUGAUCUGAACAUGUAAUUUGGUUUAGAACAUGAACAUCUGUAUGUUUUUUUUCUGUGUGUCAUGGAUUUAGAACUUGUUUGCUUGGAUUUAGAACUAUUCUAUGUAAUUGGUUUGUGUUUUAAA